rnacentral:rRNA from 1 species
AAAUGAAUUGACGGGGGCCCGCACAAGCGGUGGAGCAUGUGGUUUAAUUCGAUGCAACGCGAAGAACCUUACCAUCUCUUGACAUCCUGCGAAGUUUCUAGAGAUAGAUUCGUGCCUUCGGGAACGCAGAGACAGGUGCUGCAUGGCUGUCGUCAGCUCGUGUUGUGAAAUGUUGGGUUAAGUCCCGUAACGAGCGCAACCCUUGUCCUUAGUUGCUACCAUUUAGUUGAGAACUCUAAGGAGACUGCCGGUGACAAACCGGAGGAAGGUGGGGACGACGUCAAGUCAUCAUGGCCCUUACGAGAUGGGCUACACACGUGCUACAAUGGGUAGUACAAAGGGUUGCUAAGCCGCGAGGUGGAGCUAAUCCCAUAAAACUACUCGUAGUCCGGAUUGGAGUCUGCAACUCGACUCCAUGAAGUCGGAAUCGCUAGUAAUCGUGGAUCAGAAUGCCACGGUGAAUACGUUCCCGGGCCUUGUACACACCGCCCGU